GACGAACGCUGGCGGCGUGCUUAACACAUGCAAGUCGAACGGUAAGGCCCUUCGGGGUACACGAGUGGCGAACGGGUGAGUAACACGUGGGUGAUCUGCCCUGCACUUCGGGAUAAGCCUGGGAAACUGGGUCUAAUACCGGAUAGGACCACUGCCUGCAUGGGUGGUGGUGGAAAGCUUUCGCGGUGUGGGAUGGGCCCGCGGCCUAUCAGCUCGUUGGUGGGGUGAUGGCCUACCAAGGCGACGACGGGUAGCCGGCCUGAGAGGGUGACCGGCCACACUGGGAAUGAGAUACGGCCCAGACUCCUACGGGAGGCAGCAGUGGGGAAUAUUGCACAAUGGGCGCAAGCCUGAUGCAGCGACGCCGCGUGAGGGAUGACGGCCUUCGGGUUGUAAACCUCUUUCAGCACCGACGAAGCGCAAGUGACGGUAGGUGCAGAAGAAGGACCGGCCAACUACGUGCCAGCAGCCGCGGUAA
rnacentral:rRNA from 1 species